rnacentral:rRNA from 1 species
CCUACGGGAGGCAGCAGUGGGGAAUAUUGCGCAAUGGGCGAAAGCCUGACGCAGCGACGCCGCGUGAGGGAUGAAGGUCUUCGGAACGUAAACCUCUGUCAGCAGGGAAGCACGGUCACUGUGCUAAUCAGCAGUGAAUUGACGGUACCUGCAAAGGAAGCACCGGCUAACUCCGUGCCAGCAGCCGAGGUAAUACGGAGGGUGCGAGCGUUAAUUGGAAUUACUGGGCGUAAAGCGCUCGUAGGCGGUAUGUCAAGUCAAGGGUGAAAUCCCCGCGCUCAACGUGGGAACUGCCUUUGAAACUGGCAAACUGGAGUGUGUGAGAGGAUAGUGGAAGUCCAGGUGUAGGAGUGAAAUGCGUAGAUAUCUGGAGGAACAUCAGUGGCGAAGGCGACUAUCUGGCACAUAACUGACGCUGAGGAGCGAAAGCGUGGGUAGCAAACAGGAUUAGAUACCCGGGUAGUC